GCGGUUGAAGUUAGAGGCUUAACGCCAUCAUGAUGGAGUUCGCAGGUUCGAAUCCUGCCUUCCGCA
rnacentral:tRNA from 4 species